GACGAACGCUGGCGGCGUGCCUAAUACAUGCAAGUUGAGCGCUGAAGGUUGGUACUUGUACCGACUGGAUGAGCAGCGAACGGGUGAGUAACGCGUGGGGAAUCUGCCUUUGAGCGGGGGACAACAUUUGGAAACGAAUGCUAAUACCGCAUAAAAACUUUAAACACAAGUUUUAAGUUUGAAAGAUGCAAUUGCAUCACUCAAAGAUGAUCCCGCGUUGUAUUAGCUAGUUGGUGAGGUAAAGGCUCACCAAGGCGAUGAUACAUAGCCGACCUGAGAGGGUGAUCGGCCACAUCGGGACUGAGACACGGCCCAAACUCCUACGGGAGGCAGCAGUAGGGAAUCUUCGGCAAUGGACGAAAGUCUGACCGAGCAACGCCGCGUGAGUGAAGAAGGUUUUCGGAUCGUAAAACUCUGUUGGUAGAGAAGAACGUUGGUGAGAGUGGAAAGCUCAUCAAGUGACGGUAACUACCCAGAAAGGGACGGCUAACUACGUG
rnacentral:rRNA from 1 species